rnacentral:piRNA from 1 species
UAACUCUCAUGGUACUGUGUUCUUCUGUCC